rnacentral:rRNA from 1 species
AGUGAGCGCUGGCGGUAGGCCUAACACAUGCAAGUCGAACGGCAGCACAGUAAGAGCUUGCUCUUACGGGUGGCGAGUGGCGGACGGGUGAGGAAUACAUCGGAAUCUACUUUUUCGUGGGGGAUAACGUAGGGAAACUUACGCUAAUACCGCAUACGACCUACGGGUGAAAGCAGGGGAUCUUCGGACCUUGCGCGAUUGAAUGAGCCGAUGUCGGAUUAGCUAGUUGGCGGGGUAAAGGCCCACCAAGGCGACGAUCCGUAGCUGGUCUGAGAGGACGAUCGGCCACACUGGAACUGAGACACGGUCCAGACUCCUACGGGAGGCAGCAGUGGGGAAUAUUGGACAAUGGGCGCAAGCCUGAUCCAGCCAUACCGCGUGGGUGAAGAAGGCCUUCGGGUUGUAAAGCCCUUUUGUUGGGAAAGAAAAGCAGCAGGUUAAUACCCCGCUGUUCUGACGGUACCCAAAGAAUAAGCACCGGCUAACUUCGUG